rnacentral:rRNA from 1 species
GAGGCGAACCGGGGGAACUGAAACAUCUAAGUACCCCGAGGAAAAGAAAUCAACCGAGAUUCCCCCAGUAGCGGCGAGCGAACGGGGAGCAGCCCAGAGCCUGAAUCAGUGUGUGUGUUAGUGGAAGCGUCUGGAAAGGCGCGCGAUACAGGGUGACAGCCCCGUACACAAAAAUGCACAUGCUGUGAGCUCGAUGAGUAGGGCGGGACACGUGGUAUCCUGUCUGAAUAUGGGGGGACCAUCCUCCAAGGCUAAAUACUCCUGACUGACCGAUAGUGAACCAGUACCGUGAGGGAAAGGCGAAAAGAACCCCGGCGAGGGGAGUGAAAAAGAACCUGAAACCGUGUACGUACAAGCAGUGGGAGCACGCUUAGGCGUGUGACUGCGUACCUUUUGUAUAAUGGGUCAGCGACUUAUAUUCUGUAGCAAGGUUAACCGAAUAGGGGAGCCGAAGGGAAACCGAGUCUUAACUGGGCGUUAAGUUGCAGGGUAUAGACCCGAAACCCGGUGAUCUAGCCAUGGGCAGGUUGAAGGUUGGGUAACACUAACUGGAGGACCGAACCGACUAAUGUUGAAAAAUUAGCGGAUGACUUGUGGCUGGGGGUGAAAGGCCAAUCAAACCGGGAGAUAGCUGGUUCUCCCCGAAAGCUAUUUAGGUAGCGCCUCGUGAAUUCAUCUCCGGGGGUAGAGCACUGUUUCGGCAAGGGGGUCAUCCCGACUUACCAACCCGAUGCAAACUGCGAAUACCGGAGAAUGUUAUCACGGGAGACACACGGCGGGUGCUAACGUCCGUCGUGAAGAGGGAAACAACCCAGACCGCCAGCUAAGGUCCCAAAGUCAUGGUUAAGUGGGAAACGAUGUGGGAAGGCCCAGACAGCCAGGAUGUUGGCUUAGAAGCAGCCAUCAUUUAAAGAAAGCGUAAUAGCUCACUGGUCGAGUCGGCCUGCGCGGAAGAUGUAACGGGGCUAAACCAUGCACCGAAGCUGCGGCAGCGACGCUUAUGCGUUGUUGGGUAGGGGAGCGUUCUGUAAGCCUGUGAAGGUGUGCUGUGAGGCAUGCUGGAGGUAUCAGAAGUGCGAAUGCUGACAUAAGUAACGAUAAAGCGGGUGAAAAGCCCGCUCGCCGGAAGACCAAGGGUUCCUGUCCAACGUUAAUCGGGGCAGGGUGAGUCGACCCCUAAGGCGAGGCCGAAAGGCGUAGUCGAUGGGAAACAGGUUAAUAUUCCUGUACUUGGUGUUACUGCGAAGGGGGGACGGAGAAGGCUAUGUUGGCCGGGCGACGGUUGUCCCGGUUUAAGCGUGUAGGCUGGUUUUCCAGGCAAAUCCGGAAAAUCAAGGCUGAGGCGUGAUGACGAGGCACUACGGUGCUGAAGCAACAAAUGCCCUGCUUCCAGGAAAAGCCUCUAAGCAUCAGGUAACAUCAAAUCGUACCCCAAACCGACACAGGUGGUCAGGUAGAGAAUACCAAGGCGCUUGAGAGAACUCGGGUGAAGGAACUAGGCAAAAUGGUGCCGUAACUUCGGGAGAAGGCACGCUGAUAUGUAGGUGAAGCGACUUGCUCGUGGAGCUGAAAUCAGUCGAAGAUACCAGCUGGCUGCAACUGUUUAUUAAAAACACAGCACUGUGCAAACACGAAAGUGGACGUAUACGGUGUGACGCCUGCCCGGUGCCGGAAGGUUAAUUGAUGGGGUCAGCGCAAGCGAAGCUCUUGAUCGAAGCCCCGGUAAACGGCGGCCGUAACUAUAACGGUCCUAAGGUAGCGAAAUUCCUUGUCGGGUAAGUUCCGACCUGCACGAAUGGCGUAAUGAUGGCCAGGCUGUCUCCACCCGAGACUCAGUGAAAUUGAACUCGCUGUGAAGAUGCAGUGUACCCGCGGCAAGACGGAAAGACCCCGUGAACCUUUACUAUAGCUUGACACUGAACAUUGAGCCUUGAUGUGUAGGAUAGGUGGGAGGCUU